UAAUGGGUCAGCGACUUAUAUUCUGUAGCAAGGUUAACCGAAUAGGGGAGCCGAAGGGAAACCGAGUCUUAACUGGGCGUUAAGUUGCAGGGUAUAGACCCGAAACCCGGUGAUCUAGCCAUGGGCAGGUUGAAGGUUGGGUAACACUAACUGGAGGACCGAACCGACUAAUGUUGAAAAAUUAGCGGAUGACUUGUGGCUGGGGGUGAAAGGCCAAUCAAACCGGGAGAUAGCUGGUUCUCCCCGAAAGCUAUUUAGGUAGCGCCUCGUGAAUUCAUCUCCGGGGGUAGAGCACUGUUUCGGCAAGGGGGUCAUCCCGACUUACCAACCCGAUGCAAACUGCGAAUACCGGAGAAUGUUAUCACGGGAGACACACGGCGGGUGCUAACGUCCGUCGUGAAGAGGGAAACAACCCAGACCGC
rnacentral:rRNA from 1 species